UACGUAGGGUGCAAGCGUUGUCCGGAAUUAUUGGGCGUAAAGAGCUCGUAGGCGGUCUGUCGCGUCGGCUGUGAAAACCCGGAGCUCAACUCCGGGCCUGCAGUCGAUACGGGCAGACUGGAGUUCGGCAGGGGAGACUGGAAUUCCUGGUGUAGCGGUGGAAUGCGCAGAUAUCAGGAGGAACACCGGUGGCGAAGGCGGGUCUCUGGGCCGAUACUGACACUGAGGAGCGAAAGCGUGGGGAGCGAACAGG
rnacentral:rRNA from 1 species